rnacentral:rRNA from 1 species
UACGUAGGGGGCAAGCGUUGUCCGGAAUCAUUGGGCGUAAAGAGCGUGUAGGCGGCCCGAUAAGUCCGCUGUGAAAGUCCAGGGCUCAACCCUGGGAUGCCGGUGGAUACUGUCGGGCUCGAGUCCGGAAGAGGCGAGUGGAAUUCCUGGUGUAGCGGUGGAAUGCGCAGAUAUCAGGAGGAACACCUAUAGCGAAGGCAGCUCGCUGGGACGGUACUGACGCUGAGGCGCGAAAGCGUGGGGAGCGAACAGG